rnacentral:rRNA from 1 species
AGAGAUUGAUCCUGGCUCAGAAUGAACGCUGGCGGCGUGCUUAACACAUGCAAGUCGCACGAGAACGCUUCAGCUUGCUGAAGUUAGUAAAGUGGCGCACGGGUGAGUAACGCGUGGGUAAUCUACCUCCGAAUUGGGGAUAACAUUGCGAAAGCGAUGCUAAUACCGAAUAAUAUCUAAAAAAUCUCGGUUUUUAAGAUCAAAGAUGACCUCUACAUGUAAGUUAUUGUUUGGAGAUGAGCCCGCGUACCAUUAGCUUGUUGGUAGGGUAAUGGCCUACCAAGGCGACGAUGGUUAGCUGGUCUGAGAGGAUGAUCAGCCACACUGGAACUGACACACGGUCCAGACUCCUACGGGAGGCAGCAGUGAGGAAUUUUGCGCAAUGGGGGAAACCCUGACGCAGCAACGCCGCGUGAGUGAUGAAGGCUUUCGGGUCGUAAAGCUCUGUCAAGUGGGAAGAAACUGCAUGGUGCCAAUAUCACCGUGUACUGACGGUACCACUGAAGGAAGCACCGGCUAACUCCGUGCCAGCAGCCGCGGUAAUACGGGGGGUGCAAGCGUUAUUCGGAAUUACUGGGCGUAAAGAGCGCGUAGGCGGUCUCUUAAGUCAGAUGUGAAAGCCCGGGGCUCAACCCCGGAAGUGCAUUUGAAACUAAGGGACUUGAGUAUGGGAGAGGGAAGUGGAAUUCCUGGUGUAGCGGUGAAAUGCGUUGAUAUCCUGAAGAACACCGGUGGCGAAGGCGGCUCUCUGGAAUGGUACUGACACUGAGGCACGAAAGCGUGGGGAGCAAACAGGAUUAGAUACCCUGGUAGUCCACGCUGUAAACGGUGCGCACUUGGUGUGGGAGGUAUUGACCCCUUCCGUGCCGAAGCUAACGCGUUAAGUGCGCCGCCUGGGGAGUACGACCGCAAGGUUAAAACUCAAAGAAAUUGACGGGGGCCCGCACAAGCGGAGGAGCAUGUGGCUUAAUUCGAUGCAACGCGAAGAACCUUACCAGGGCUUGACAUGUAACUGCUAAUCCUGUGAAAGCAGGAUUCCUUUGAGGGUGUUACACAGGUGCUGCAUGGCUGUCGUCAGUUCGUGCCGUGAGGUGUUGGGUUAAGUCCCGCAACGAACGCAACCCCUGUGUUUAGUUGCCACCGCAGGUGAUGAGCCUGCGAGCACUCUAGACAGACUGCCCGUACAAGCGGGAGGAAGGUGGGGACGACGUCAAGUCAGUAUGGCCCUUACGCCCUGGGCUGCACACGUGCUACAAUGGCAGGUACAGAGGGACGCAAUACCGCGAGGUGGAGCAAAUCCCCAAAACCGGCCCCAGUUCGGAUUGGAGUCUGCAACUCGACUCCAUGAAGUUGGAUUCGCUAGUAACGGCGCAUCAGCUACGGCGCCGUGAAUACGUUCCCGGGCCUUGUACACACCGCCCGUCACAUCAUGAAAGCCGUCUGCACCCGAAGUCGCUGAGCCAACCCGCAAGGGAGGCAGGUGCCGAAGGUGUGGGUGGUGAUUGGGAUGAAGUCGUAACAAGGUA